UCCGGAGUAGCUCAGCGGUAGAGCGAUCGGCUGUUAACCGAUUGGUCGCUGGUUCGAUCCCAGCCUCCGGAGGCA
rnacentral:tRNA from 1 species